AUCUCAAGGGUUAGUAGUGAUGUCCAGACACAAUUUCAUAUUCUAAAACCAAGCUGUCAUGGAAGUUUAUUGAAAAGGUCUUAGAUUCUGGCAGGCUGUACAUGUAUUUGGAUGUGGCUUUCAUCAGAGAUGGAUGUUUAAAAAACCCCGUUCUCCUGGGAAAGACAAGCAGUGGACUGUCUCAUCUAGGGAGAAGAAACGGUAUAAAUCUAGCCAUAAGCAACAGGAGAACAAGAGUUGUGUGAAGUUGCUGAAGAUGUUCAGUGAUAAAAUAAGUACAAGAGGGAUGAUAAGUGAUGCUGAGAUGCUGAGAGAGCAAACCUACUGCUGCUUGACAUCUUUGAACAAGAAAUGUGGAAAUGAUAUUUUCUCUUCCUAUGAAGAUCUUGAUUGAGUCUUCCAUAGUUCAUGGAGUCAUCUCUCUUUUCUGUGAACUGUAAACAAGAAGCUUUCAAGGCCUUAGUAAAGAACAGGACAAUGGGAAGCAAAAAGAAGAAAUGGGUACAGAUCUCCAAAACUAUUAUCAAUAACUGUGCAAGGUCAGCAACAAAAAUUUUGGGAAAAAUACAGUAAUGAAAACAACAAAGACACUGCAUCCUCAUUUGGAGCCUUGACAGCUACUUCCAAGAUGGACAGGAAUGUGAAAAUACAAGAAAUGACUGAAGGAGGAUACAUUUGAGAAUCAGCUGCACCAAAUAAUGUAGUUGAGAGGAACUAGAGCAAGACGAUGUUCUGUGAGAGUAUCAUGAAACUACAGAAGGAGACGGUGUGCUGCAAAGAUGUAUUAACUGCAUGUCGACUGGAUGUCUUGUCCUUUUGAAAAUAGUGCCAGUAUUGCAGGUUUCAUGCCCUGAUGAAUGCUAAUAGAUACCAGAGGAAACUGAUUUUUGCAUCUUUAAAUACUGCAUUACCAGACAUUUGCUUCCUUUUUUAUACUGAUUGUGCUGUUUUAUAUGCUUUUGUUUAAGAUAUAUUAAUUUUCUUACUAACCUGCUGCUUUCCACAGAAUGCAAACAAUGUACUGGUUUUUAUUUGUAGUAAAUAAAGUCUUUGUGAGUUUUUUAA